rnacentral:lncRNA from 1 species
GAAAUUCAAAAAAACCUUACUUUCUUCGGAUUACUAUGCCUGCAAGAAACUGUACGGAAAUUAAAACCGCACACCCCUAGUUCUAGUAAGCCUUAUUUGGAAGCAUCCACUCUUUUGGUUCUGCAUCCUUUUGCCUAUUUGUAUUCCAGGAGGCUUCUAUUUUUUUUUUUUUUUUUCUUGGCUUGGGAGGGUCUUCUUUAGCCUUGCACAGGAUUUCCAGAAUCUUUAACCUUCUCCUUCUUGUGGUGGAUGGUCGAUUCUAAAGGCAAGAACGUCGGGUGAGCUCUUCUCCGCAUCCCUUCUCAGCUUGACCAUGGUGUUCCAUUUUUCCUUUGCUUCUGUGCUUUUUCAUGUGAUGGGAUUUCUGGUUGUGAUUGCAUGUGCUUCUUUUUGGAUUUUUUAUUCAUCGUUCAUCAUCAACCGACUUGUCUCCCUUGUCGACUUUUUGAUAAUCUGCUCACUCCAGCAAGCUAGGGUACACUUGGGCUUGAUUGUUUCUUGUAGGCCUUGGGCCAUUUUGGUUAGUUUGUAUCUUUGGUUCUCUGUUUAUUCCUAAAGCUUCUUUAGUGGUUUGG